UACGGGGGGGGUAAGCGUUGUUCGGAAUUACUGGGCGUAAAGGGCUCGUAGGCGGCCAACUAAGUCAUACGUGAAAUCCCUCAGCUUAACUGGGGAACUGCGUGUGAUACUGGAUGGCUUGGAUUUGGGAGAGGGAUGCGGAAUUCCAGGUGUAGCGGUGAAAUGCGUAGAUAUCUGGAGGAACACCGGUGGCGAAGGCGGCAUCCUGGACCAAUAUUGACGCUGAGGAGCGAAAAGCCAGGGGAGCAAACGGG
rnacentral:rRNA from 1 species